GGUGAGUCUGGAAGGAGUUACCGAAGGUGGAGAGAUGUUCCAGCUGAGCGAAUAAAAGGUAACCCAGGGAAAUAGAAAGUGAAGGAAAAUCUUAUCUGGUUUAAAUGUAACAAUUAAACCACGGGGUCCAUAUUCUGUUAUAAGUUUCUAAAUUAUCAUUGUUAAAAUAUAUUGCCUUUUCCGUGUUAUCUUGGUAGCUUAUUUGCAUUUUUAUCUCAAUUUUCACAUAUUAGAG